rfam:Felis catus isolate Cinnamon breed Abyssinian chromosome A3, whole genome shotgun sequence.
GCCUGGGUGGCUUAGUCGGUUAAGCGUCUGACUUCGGCUCAGGUCAUGAUCUCACAGUCCGUGAGUUCAAGCCCUGCAUUGGGCU